UGUAGGUGGCAAGCGUUGUCCGGAUUUAUUGGGUUUAAAGGGUGCGUAGGCGGUGUCCUAAGUCAGUUGUGAAAUACGGCAGCUUAACUGUCGAGGUGCAAUUGAUACUGGGACACUUGAGUACUGAUGAGGUAAGCGGAAUGGACGGUGUAGCGGUGAAAUGCUUAGAUAUCGUCCAGAACACCGAUAGCGAAGGCAGCUUACUAAGGAGUAACUGGCGCUGAGGCACGAAAGUGUGGGGAUCAAACAGGAUUAGAUACCCUGGUAGUCCACACUGUAAACGAUGAUCACUCGAUGUUGGCGAUACACAGCCAGCGUCUUAGCAAAAGCGAUAAGUGAUCCACCUGGGGAGUACGCCGGCAACGGUG
rnacentral:rRNA from 1 species